UCCCAGAGAAUAGUGGUAAUCAUAAAUUUUUAGUGAUGUUUCUUGAAUGGUAUUGGAUGCAUGUUGAUGCAAAUGUUAGGGUGAUUGCAUACGUUUCACGACAAAUGGAAUCUCAUGAGAUGAAUUACCCUACUGGUGAUUUGGAAGUCACGAUUACCAUCCUUGCUGUGAAGUUAUGGAGACAUUCUAUGUUGAUAAGAAUGCAAGAUUUUACAAAUCAAAAGAGUCUCCAAUAUUUGUUUACUCGGAAGGAUUUCAAUAUGAGGCAACAAAGGUGGAUUGAAUUACUUAGUGAUUAUGAUUGUACGAUCAGGGUGAUCGUGAAUUGUUGUAGCUGAAGCACUUGAUGAGAAGACUCUAGUAAGAAUUAAUGAUUGGUACGUUUGCCAAGAUUAUCUUCUUGUGGAUCGGAAAUCAACUGAAGUAAAGUUGAGAACUGGAGAUCGAGAAGAAGCUCUACUUGUUAGAUUUCAAGUUAGGCCUGUUUGGUAAGGUCGUACUCGAAACUUAAACAUUUGACGAGGAAAUUUAAGAAUUAACCAAGGCAAGGAAAGAAGGGGAAAAAGAAAGAUUCGAUCACGAAGGAGUUUUAGUAGACCCUGAGACUAUGGAUGAGUCUCCUCAAAGUAUUCAGGUGAUUUAAGUUAACCUGAAGUAACCAGGAAUGGCAAAAGAGAUCAACAGAUGGAUAUGCCACUAAUCGAGUGUGUAAGGUAAAUGGUUUGAUAUUUUGGAAUUUCACCAUGAACAGAAAUAGUAAGAUUCAGAAAGAAAGACAAGAUAAGUCUUAAACACAUCAGACCGUUUUGAUCAUUAAAAGAAUCGAUGAAGUUGCAUAUAAGUUUAUGAUGCCUUCAAAAUUGUCUAAGGUGCAUAAUGCAUUAUAUUUCGAUGCGUUGUCACUAGGUGGCAGACUCGUCACAUGGGAUUCUGGUGCAACUAUUGAGAAUUAAAUUGGAUUCGACUUGAUAAGGAACCAAGGACGACUUUGGAUUGGAAAAAGAAGGUCCUGAGAAUUGAGACAGAGUAAGUGGUAAAAGCUUUGUGAAGGAAAUCAUUCAGUAGAAAAUUAUGUUGGAGAAAGAGAAUCGGAUGAGAGAGAUUUACCCGAGGAAAUUGUAUGAGUAUAGAUGAUUUAGUUGGUUGCUGGAAUUUCGGGGACGAAAUUCUAUAAGGAGGGGAGAUUGUCACAGCCCGUCCCGGAAUUUUUAAUUCCAAGGACGUGAAAUUACGAAAAUGCCCCUAAUACGUGACUAAGGUAUAAUUUUUACGUUCGUUAUAUCUAAGCUCCUAAAAUUUGGUAAGUAGAGUGGAGACUUAGAUUUAAAUUUAUGUUAGAAUUUUGUAGUUGGGGAUUGGGUAGGAUCCCACACCCCUUAAUUCUUUCCCUCUUUCCCGUACCCUGUCUCUCUCUCUUCCCUCACGACUCUCUCUCACUCUCAGUUCUCUCUCUCUUCCUCUCCGACGCUCAACCUCACCCAAAACCACCUAAAACAUAAACAAACGUCCAAGGUAAGACCACAUUUGGACUCCUGGAACUUCCACGAUCACGUAGACAUCAAUUUCAGGGAAAUCUAAGCUCACAGGGAGCUCUAGGAGGUUCCCACGAAGCUCGGAGUGCUUCGUUGGAAGUUUUUGGACGAAAGAACACGGAGAUCGACGAGUUCAAAGUUUGGCCGGAGCUUUCGAGGCAUUUUCCGGCGAAUCCCCGGCGAGUUAGGAGUCGAGUUUCCGGCGACCUCCGAGGAUUUCGAGGCAGUUUCCGG